GGUUGUAGCUCAGUGGUUGAGCACUUGCCUCGCAUGCAUGAGGCCCUGGGUUCAAUCUGCAGCACCA
rnacentral:tRNA from 1 species